rnacentral:rRNA from 1 species
UGGGGAAUAUUGGGCAAUGGACGCAAGUCUGACCCAGCAACGCCGCGUGAAGGAAGAAGGCUUUCGGGUUGUAAACUUCUUUUAAGGGGGAAGAGCAGAAGACGGUACCCCUUGAAUAAGCCACGGCUAACUACGUGCCAGCAGCCGCGGUAAUACGUAGGUGGCAAGCGUUGUCCGGAUUUACUGGGUGUAAAGGGCGUGCAGCCGGGAAGACAAGUCAGAUGUGAAAUCCCGCGGCUCAACCGCGGAACUGCAUUUGAAACUGUUUUUCUUGAGUAUCGGAGAGGUAAUCGGAAUUCCUAGUGUAGCGGUGAAAUGCGUAGAUAUUAGGAAGAACACCAGUGGCGAAGGCGGAUUACUGGACGACAACUGACGGUGAGGCGCGAAAGCGUGGGGAGCAAACAGG